rnacentral:rRNA from 1 species
UACAGAGGUCUCAAGCGUUGUUCGGAUUCAUUGGGCGUAAAGGGUGCGUAGGCGGCGCGGUAAGUCGGGUGUGAAAUCUCGGAGCUUAACUCCGAAACUGCAUUCGAUACUGCCGUGCUUGAGGACUGGAGAGGAGACUGGAAUUUACGGUGUAGCGGUGAAAUGCGUAGAUAUCGUAAGGAAGACCAGUGGCGAAGGCGGGGCUCUGGACAGUUCCUGACGCUGAGGCACGAAGGUCAGGGGAGCAAACGGG